GUGGCUGUAGCUCACUUGGCAGAGCGCCGCUCUGUGGCAGCGGAGGCAGCGGGUUCAAUCCCCGUCAGUCACC
rnacentral:tRNA from 1 species